AGAGCUGCUGCGGCUACGCACUGUUACAUCUCCGGAAGAUGUGCCUUGUUAUGCUCUCAGUACUUAUAAAAAAGGAAUUCUCUGUCCACAAUUUAUUCCUGUGCUUUAAAAGUUUGAAUUCCAGUGGAAAAGCAGCAAGAAGACCUGUUUUCCUCAGGAAGUAAUCCUCGCCAAGCAUGUCAGGUGUAGGAUACCAUAUGUCAGAAGUCACAACAGGAGGCCGGGCACGGUGGCUCACGCCUGUAAUCCCAGCACUUUGGGAGGUUGAGGUGGAUGGAUCACCUGAGGUCAGGAGUUCAAGACCAGCCUGGGAAACAUGAUGAAACCCUGUCUCUACUAAAAAUACAAAAAUUAGCCGGGCGCAGUGGCACAUGCCUGUAAAUCCCAGCUACUCAGGAGGCUGAGGCCGGAGAAUCGCUUGAGCCCGGGAGGUGGAGGUUGCAGUGAGCCAAGAUCAGGCCACUGUACUCCAGCCUGGGUGACAGAGUGAGACUCUGUCUAAAACAAACAAACAAACAAAAAAAGAAGUCACAACGGGUGAUGAAAAGC
rnacentral:lncRNA from 1 species